GAUGAACGCUGGCGGCGUGCUUAACACAUGCAAGUCGAACGAAGAUGCCGGAGUGCUUGCACUUUUGGCAGACUGAGUGGCGGACGGGUGAGUAACGCGUGGGUAACCUGCCUUAUACAGGGGGAUAACAGUUGGAAACGACUGCUAAUACCGCAUAAGCGCACGGUAUCGCAUGAUACAGUGUGAAAAACUCCGGUGGUAUAAGAUGGACCCGCGUCUGAUUAGCUAGUUGGUGAGGUAACGGCCCACCAAGGCGACGAUCAGUAGCCGGCCUGAGAGGGUGAACGGCCACAUUGGGACUGAGACACGGCCCAAAACUCCUACGGGAGGCAGCAGUGGGGAAUAUUGCACAAUGGGGGAAACCCUGAUGCAGCGACGCCGCGUGAGUGAUGAAGUAUUUCGGUAUGUAAAACUCUAUCAGCAGGGAAGAUAAUGACGGUACCUGACUAAGAGCACCGGCUAAAUACGUGCCAGCAGCCG
rnacentral:rRNA from 1 species